rnacentral:rRNA from 1 species
UACGGGGGGGGCAAGCGUUGUUCGGAAUUACUGGGCGUAAAGGGCUCGUAGGCGGCCAACUAAGUCCGGGGUGAAAUCCCUCGGCUUAACCUGGGAACUGCGUCUGAUACUGGAAGGCUUGAGUGCGGGAGAGGGAUGUGGAAUUCCAGGUGUAGCGGUGAAAUGCGUAGAUAUCAGGAGGAACACCAAUGGCGAAGGCAGCUCGCUGGGACGGUACUGACGCUGAGACGCGAAAGCGUGGGGAGCAAACAGG